UUGCAGUUAAAAAGCUCGUAGUUGAAUUUCUAGUCAACCGUUAGCUGGCUUCACAGUCGUUAACGAUUGCCUAUCCGACAUUGAACUAUAGUGGUUAUUAAGUUAACCCUAUAGCGAACUGUCAUUUUACUUUGAAAAAAUUAGAGUGUUUCAGGCAGGCAAUUGCCCGAAUAUCUUAGCAUGGAAUAAUGGAAUAGGACUUUGGUUCAUUUGAUUGGUUAUUGAAUCAGAGUAAUGAUUAAUAGGGACAGUUGGGGGCAUUAGUAUUUAAUUGUCAGAGGUGAAAUUCUUGGAUUUAUUAAAGACUAACUUAUGCGAAAGCAUUUGCCAAGGAUGUUUUCAUUAAUCAAGAACGAAAGUUAGGGGAUCAAAGACGAUCAGAUACCGUCCUAGUCUUAACUAUAAACUAUACCGACUCAGGAUUGGCGAUGCCAUAAGCUUCGUCAGCACUGUAUGAGAAAUUAAAGUCUUUGGGUUCUGGGGGGAGUAUGGUCGCAAGGCUGAAACUUAAAGGAAUUGACGGAAGGGCACCACCAGGAGUGGAGCCUGCGGCUUAAUUUGACUCAACACGGGGAAACUUACCAAGGCC
rnacentral:rRNA from 1 species